GAUUAACGCUAGCGGCAGGCAUAAUACAUGCAAGUUGAACGGCAGCACAGGUAGCAAUACUGGGUGGCGAGUGGCGCACGGGUGCGUAACACGUAUGCAACCUACCCUAUACAGGCGAAUAACCUUUAGAAAUGAGGGCUAAUACGCCGUAGUAUUACAGAUGGGCAUCUAUUUGUAAUUAAAGAUUUAUCGGUAUAGGAUGGGCAUGCGUCCCACUAGUUAGUUGGUAAGGUAACGGCUUACCAAGACGAUGAUGGGUAGGGGAUCUGAGAGGACUUACCCCCACACUGGUACUGAGACACGGACCAGACUCCUACGGGAGGCAGCAGUAAGGAAUAUUGGGCAAUGGCCGCGAGGCUGACCCAGCCAUGCCGCGUGCAGGAAGACGGCCUUAUGGGUUGUAAACUGCUUUUAUACGGGAAUAAUAGAGUGUACGCGUACAUUUAUGCAAGUAUCGUAUGAAUAAGCAUCGGCUAACUCCGUG
rnacentral:rRNA from 1 species